rnacentral:sRNA from 1 species
UGUGGUAUGCAAUUCUCGGCGGAUCCGGU